CAUUAAAGAGUUCUAUAACUCCCAAACCCAUGUGAACAUACCUAACGUUGCCUCGGCAGGUCGCACCUAUCUUGUAGCACCCUACCCUGUAGGGCCUACCCGGGAGGUGCGGGUAAGCCUGCCGGCGGCCCACCAAACUCUGUUUGAUAUUGAAUUCUGAACCUAUAACUAAAUAAGUUAAAACUUUCAACAACGGAUCUCUUGGUUCUGGCAUCGAUGAAGAACGCAGCGAAAUGCGAUAAGUAAUGUGAAUUGCAGAAUUCAGUGAAUCAUCGAAUCUUUGAACGCAUAUUGCGCCCAUUAGUAUUCUAGUGGGCAGGACCGUUCGAGCGUCAUUUCAACCCUUAAGCCUUCGUUGCUUAGUGUUGGGAGCCUACGGCAACGUAGCUCCUCAAAGUUAGUGGCGGAGUUGGUUCACACUCUAGACGUAGUAAUUUUUUAUCUCGCCUAUUAGUUGGACUAAUCCCCUGCCGUAAAACCCCCAAUUUAUCAAGGUUGACCUCGAAUCGGUUCAGACAAACUCGCUAAAUUGAAGCAUCUUAGUCAGCGAAGGAAAAGAAACCAACAGGGAUUGCCCUAGUAACGGCGAGUGAAGCGGCAACAGCUCAAAUUUGAAAUCUGGCCCUCGGGUCCGAGUUGUAAUUUGUAGAGGAUGCUUUUGGCGCGGUGCCUUCCGAGUUCCCUGGAACGGGACGCCUUAGAGGGUGAGAGCCCCGUACGGUUGGACACCAAGCCUCUGUAAAGCUCCUUCGACGAGUCGAGUAGCUUGGGAAUGCUGCUCUAAAUGGGAGG
rnacentral:rRNA from 1 species